UGGACCAAUGGUGGGUGUGUCAUGAACCAAGGAUUAUGAAUAAUCUAAGUCUGUGCAGAUAAGAUCCGUG
rnacentral:snoRNA from 1 species